rnacentral:sRNA from 1 species
GAAUCAUGACAUCUGAUUGUUUAAUGUCUAAUGUAUACCAAAUUUUUAUUUGCAUGAAUUAAAAUUGUAUAUAAUAACAUAAACGGAAAUCGAUAAUAUGUGAAUACAUAAAUGGACGAAUUAUACAUGCGGAACGCACAUAAGAUGGAGAACGGUGUAUAAAUUAAAUAAGGUAUCUUUAUAUUCAACAACAGACACAACCCUUCAUGUGGAUCAAUUCUUCGAGAUUUUUAUCACUAAAAGCUUUACGAAUUUUUUCAAUAAAGAAAUAAUUUCUACUUUAAGCCUAGUACUGACUCCAUUCACAGCGAAAAUGCCUAUUAAAUUAUUGCGAAAUCCAACGGACUAUUUUCUUUGUCAGGACACAAACAAAAGUCAAACAACAACACACAAUAAAGACAACAGUAUUGAAACAGAGUUGAUUCGGCCAAUUUCGUGAGCAUUUAAUUGCAAUUAAAAUUGUGCGAAAUUUAUCCUGAUGCAGCGACAUGUUGCUAAUAUUUUACUCGUUGAACUCAGUACUACUUGUACUUAUAGUGCGUUUUGACAGUUGUUCGUUUGAAAAGUCGAAGUCAGUACUAGGCUUUAGACUCUUUACAGAGAUGACAAUGGCGAUGAAAAUUCUAUGAUGUAUAGUAAAAGCCCAAGUGAACGAAUUACAGUCCAAUCCCUUUUCUAAAAUUUCAUCUACCUGCGCAUAAUGCUUUUUAAUGACUUUGGUUUGAAGCCUCAUUGGCAGCAGUCAAAAAUGAAAUCACAGUUGAAAAGUUGACUGGGAAUUUUUCGUCAUCUACACAGUGUCCACACUACAAUGAAUAAACUAAAAGAUUUUGUUAACCAAUGGAAUCAAUAUAUUUCUACCAUUAAGGCCCUCUCCACUUGUAACACUAGUUUUUUGUUUUUAAUAAAAAGACAAAAUAUUUUUUA